GGUUAAGCGACUAAGCGUACACGGUGGAUGCCCUGGCAGUCAGAGGCGAUGAAGGACGUGCUAAUCUGCGAUAAGCGUCGGUAAGGUGAUAUGAACCGUUAUAACCGGCGAUUUCCGAAUGGGGAAACCCAGUGUGUUUCGACACACUAUCAUUAACUGAAUCCAUAGGUUAAUGAGGCGAACCGGGGGAACUGAAACAUCUAAGUACCCCGAGGAAAAGAAAUCAACCGAGAUUCCCCCAGUAGCGGCGAGCGAACGGGGAGGAGCCCAGAGCCUGAAUCAGUGUGUGUGUUAGUGGAAGCGUCUGGAAAGGCGCGCGAUACAGGGUGACAGCCCCGUACACAAAAAUGCACAUGCUGUGAGCUCGAUGAGUAGGGCGGGACACGUGGUAUCCUGUCUGAAUAUGGGGGGACCAUCCUCCAAGGCUAAAUACUCCUGACUGACCGAUAGUGAACCAGUACCGUGAGGGAAAGGCGAAAAGAACCCCGGCGAGGGGAGUGAAAAAGAACCUGAAACCGUGUACGUACAAGCAGUGGGAGCACGCUUAGGCGUGUGACUGCGUACCUUUUGUAUAAUGGGUCAGCGACUUAUAUUCUGUAGCAAGGUUAACCGAAUAGGGGAGCCGAAGGGAAACCGAGUCUUAACUGGGCGUUAAGUUGCAGGGUAUAGACCCGAAACCCGGUGAUCUAGCCAUGGGCAGGUUGAAGGUUGGGUAACACUAACUGGAGGACCGAACCGACUAAUGUUGAAAAAUUAGCGGAUGACUUGUGGCUGGGGGUGAAAGGCCAAUCAAACCGGGAGAUAGCUGGUUCUCCCCGAAAGCUAUUUAGGUAGCGCCUCGUGAAUUCAUCUCCGGGGGUAGAGCACUGUUUCGGCAAGGGGGUCAUCCCGACUUACCAACCCGAUGCAAACUGCGAAUACCGGAGAAUGUUAUCACGGGAGACACACGGCGGGUGCUAACGUCCGUCGUGAAGAGGGAAACAACCCAGACCGCCAGCUAAGGUCCCAAAGUCAUGGUUAAGUGGGAAACGAUGUGGGAAGGCCCAGACAGCCAGGAUGUUGGCUUAGAAGCAGCCAUCAUUUAAAGAAAGCGUAAUAGCUCACUGGUCGAGUCGGCCUGCGCGGAAGAUGUAACGGGGCUAAACCAUGCACCGAAGCUGCGGCAGCGACACUAUGUGUUGUUGGGUAGGGGAGCGUUCUGUAAGCCUGUGAAGGUGUACUGUGAGGUAUGCUGGAGGUAUCAGAAGUGCGAAUGCUGACAUAAGUAACGAUAAAGCGGGUGAAAAGCCCGCUCGCCGGAAGACCAAGGGUUCCUGUCCAACGUUAAUCGGGGCAGGGUGAGUCGACCCCUAAGGCGAGGCCGAAAGGCGUAGUCGAUGGGAAACAGGUUAAUAUUCCUGUACUUGGUGUUACUGCGAAGGGGGGACGGAGAAGGCUAUGUUGGCCGGGCGACGGUUGUCCCGGUUUAAGCGUGUAGGCUGGUUUUCCAGGCAAAUCCGGAAAAUCAAGGCUGAGGCGUGAUGACGAGGCACUACGGUGCUGAAGCAACAAAUGCCCUGCUUCCAGGAAAAGCCUCUAAGCAUCAGGUAACAUCAAAUCGUACCCCAAACCGACACAGGUGGUCAGGUAGAGAAUACCAAGGCGCUUGAGAGAACUCGGGUGAAGGAACUAGGCAAAAUGGUGCCGUAACUUCGGGAGAAGGCACGCUGAUAUGUAGGUGAAGUCCCUCGCGGAUGGAGCUGAAAUCAGUCGAAGAUACCAGCUGGCUGCAACUGUUUAUUAAAAACACAGCACUGUGCAAACACGAAAGUGGACGUAUACGGUGUGACGCCUGCCCGGUGCCGGAAGGUUAAUUGAUGGGGUCAGCGCAAGCGAAGCUCUUGAUCGAAGCCCCGGUAAACGGCGGCCGUAACUAUAACGGUCCUAAGGUAGCGAAAUUCCUUGUCGGGUAAGUUCCGACCUGCACGAAUGGCGUAAUGAUGGCCAGGCUGUCUCCACCCGAGACUCAGUGAAAUUGAACUCGCUGUGAAGAUGCAGUGUACCCGCGGCAAGACGGAAAGACCCCGUGAACCUUUACUAUAGCUUGACACUGAACAUUGAGCCUUGAUGUGUAGGAUAGGUGGGAGGCUUAGAAGUGUGGACGCCAGUCUGCAUGGAGCCGACCUUGAAAUACCACCCUUUAAUGUUUGAUGUUCUAACGUUGACCCGUAAUCCGGGUUGCGGACAGUGUCUGGUGGGUAGUUUGACUGGGGCGGUCUCCUCCUAAAGAGUAACGGAGGAGCACGAAGGUUGGCUAAUCCUGGUCGGACAUCAGGAGGUUAGUGCAAUGGCAUAAGCCAGCUUGACUGCGAGCGUGACGGCGCGAGCAGGUGCGAAAGCAGGUCAUAGUGAUCCGGUGGUUCUGAAUGGAAGGGCCAUCGCUCAACGGAUAAAAGGUACUCCGGGGAUAACAGGCUGAUACCGCCCAAGAGUUCAUAUCGACGGCGGUGUUUGGCACCUCGAUGUCGGCUCAUCACAUCCUGGGGCUGAAGUAGGUCCCAAGGGUAUGGCUGUUCGCCAUUUAAAGUGGUACGCGAGCUGGGUUUAGAACGUCGUGAGACAGUUCGGUCCCUAUCUGCCGUGGGCGCUGGAGAACUGAGGGGGGCUGCUCCUAGUACGAGAGGACCGGAGUGGACGCAUCACUGGUGUUCGGGUUGUCAUGCCAAUGGCACUGCCCGGUAGCUAAAUGCGGAAGAGAUAAGUGCUGAAAGCAUCUAAGCACGAAACUUGCCCCGAGAUGAGUUCUCCCUGACUCCUUGAGAGUCCUGAAGGAACGUUGAAGACGACGACGUUGAUAGGCCGGGUGUGUAAGCGCAGCGAUGCGUUGAGCUAACCGGUACUAAUGAACCGUGAGGCUUAACCUU
rnacentral:rRNA from 1 species